GAUGAAGAACGCAGCGAAAUGCGAUAAGUAGUGUGAAUUGCAGAAUUCAGUGAAUCAUCGAAUCUUUGAACGCACAUUGCGCCCCUUGGUAUUCCAUGGGGCAUGCCUGUUCGAGCGUCAUUUGUACCUUCAAGCUCUGCUUGGUGUUGGGUGUUUGUCUCGCCUCUGCGUGUAGACUCGCCUCAAAACAAUUGGCAGCCGGCGUAUUGAUUUCGGAGCGCAGUACAUCUCGCGCUUUGCAAUCAUAACGACGACGUCCAAAAGUACAUUUUUACACUCUUGACCUCGGAUCAGGUAGGGAUACCCGCUGAACUUAAGCAUAUCAAUAAGCGGAGGA
rnacentral:misc_RNA from 1 species